CCGUUUGUCGUUCCUGGGUGUAGCACUCUCUUCCCCUAAGAACACCAUUAUCGCCUUGCGUGUUGAAGUGAGCGGGUCCUGGCGGCGGCGCUCGCUGUGAACCGGCGGCAACGGGACGGGCCUGGGGGCGUUCGCCAUUACCUUCUUUUUUCAUGUUCCUGCUGCUAGAUGAGUCGCCGACAGCCUCGACCUCCCAGAUCCGGUUCCUCUGGUGUUGUUGCCGACAAGCGAGGCCAACCGUACCGAACCUGGAUACUCAAAUGCUGGGUCUGGUUGCGGUCAGCGAGUCGGCGGCGAUGACCUUGACAAAGGACGAGGUGGAGUUCGCCGGCGUGCGGAUGCAUCUCCGGUCGGUGCAGUCUACCGACAGAGUCCACCCAGAGGCCCCCGGGUGAACAAAAAGAUUAUGGCUGGGAAGUGCACCUCCAGACCGGACACCGUGCCCAUCGCGGAUGAGUGCUGAGGAGCAGUCAAUUCGCAAGUAUGCAGAGGAGCCUACAAAGAGUGUUAUACAUCCGGCACUUGGUUUCAGUUUUGAUUCACUUGGUGAGGUGUAUGACUUCUACAAUUUGUAUUCCUGGGAGACCAGCUUUGGAAUUAGAGAUAUGGUAAGAGCAGACUCAAUGCCAAGAGGACAAAGUGCAUGCAGGAGAUAGUCAGCGGUUGCUCGGUUGAUUUUCUCUUUGUUCUGGAUAGCAUUCCUUGAAUAUCUAAGUUGCGAGCAGAUGUUUCUGGAAGUAUCUGUUUAUCACUCUUUUUGUACCUUUUUAGAGUUGGGAGAAGACAGUGGAUUGCUACAGUCCUGGUCAGGGGUUGAUGCCUGCUAGUUUUAAAGUCAAGAUCCGUGCCUUUAGAUGGAAACUAUGAAGCAUUUGAGGAGAUUAUUGACCCUGAUUUUGGAGAAUCAGCCAUUGAGCGGGUAGCACCUGUCGACUCUGGGAUUUGGUGGAUAAUUCUCCUGAGGGCAUAUGGUAACAUUACCGGAGACUAUGCACUACAAGAAAGGGUUGAUGCGCAGACAGGCAUCAGACUAAUCCUGAAUUUAUGCUUGUCUGAUGGAUUUGACAGUUCCCUGCGUUGUUGGUCACCGACGGAUCAUGCAUGAUUGGUUGGAGGAUGGGAAUCCAUGGACAUCCUCUUGAGAUCCAGGAGGAGAGGCUUUCUUGCUUGGUGCUCUCUUCCUCUUUGGAGAAGGCUGACGCGCCCGAGAUCGAUAUGGCAGACUCGCGCUUAUGGGCUCCGUCUCGGGGUGGGAUCGAGUCGGCUGACGCGGUGGCGGACUAGCGCCGCGCUCCGUCUCGGGCAGGGUUGGAGUCAGCUGACGCGGCGGACUUGGAGGAGGAGUUGGUGGCCUUGGAAAGACGAUGCAAUCCUUUCUCCAUAGAAUCAUACGACGUAUGGCGUCUCCCAGUGUGCGCUCCAGGAAUAUCAAACUCUAGCUCGUCAUAUCCCGACAUCACUUCAUCCACCCCGACACAAGCAUAGCCAGAUGGAAUCAGAUUGCCAUGGAAGGUUGCUUCAGGGGGAUUUGGUAAAGCAUAGCCGCCCAACACCUUCAUGGAUAUGUUCUUCACUUUCAUGUGUAGCUCACAAGGUGUCGUACCUUUGAUAUCAUCCACGGGGUAUCUAGCCAGCAGUGCAUCAUUAGCCGGGGUGGAACCGAUGCUUCCUUUCGGCAUAGAUGGACGGUGCUAUCCAAUGCUGGAUCUGCUUGCUGCUACCGCUGAGACGCC